rnacentral:rRNA from 1 species
UACGUAGGGAGCAAGCGUUGUCCGGAAUCAUUGGGCGUAAAGCGCGCGUAGGCGGCCCUGUAAGUCCGCUGUAAAAGUCAAAGGCUCAACCUUUGAAAGCCGGUGGAUACUGCAGGGCUAGAGUCCGGAAGAGGCGAGUGGAAUUCCUGGUGUAGCGGUGGAAUGCGCAGAUAUCAGGAGGAACACCAAUAGCGAAGGCAGCUCGCUGGGACGGUACUGACGCUAAGGCGCGAACGCGUGGGGAGCGAACAGG